UAGGGGGCAAGCGUUAUCCGGAUUUACUGGGUGUAAAGGGAGCGUAGGCGGCGAUGCAAGUCAGAAGUGAAAGCCCGUAGCUCAACUACGGGACUGCUUUUGAAACUGUAUUGCUAGAUUGCAGGAGAGGUAAGUGGAAUUCCUAGUGUAGCGGUGAAAUGCGUAGAUAUUAGGAGGAACACCAGUGGCGAAGGCGGCUUACUGGACUGUAAAUGACGCUGAGGCUCGAAAGCGUGGGGAGCAAA
rnacentral:rRNA from 1 species